GCCUUGCCAGCCCGCUCAGAAACUUAAAGGAAUUGAGGGGGCCCGCACAAGCGGCGGAGCAUGUGGAUUAAUUCGAUGCAACGCGAAGAACCUUACCUGGGUUUGACAUACACCGGAAAACCGUAGAGAUACGGUCCCCCUUGUGGUCGGUGUACAGGUGGUGCAUGGCUGUCGUCAGCUCGUGUCGUGAGAUGUUGGGUUAAGUCCCGCAACGAGCGCAACCCUUGUCUUAUGUUGCCAGCACGUGAUGGUGGGGACUCGUAAGAGACUGCCGGGGUCAACUCGGAGGAAGGUGGGGACGACGUCAAGUCAUCAUGCCCCUUAUGUCCAGGGCUUCACACAUGCUACAAUGGCCAGUACAGAGGGCUGCGAGACCGUGAGGUGGAGCGAAUCCCUUAAAGCUGGUCUCAGUUCGGAUCGGGGUCUGCAACUCGACCCCGUGAAGUCGGAGUCGCUAGUAAUCGCAGAUCAGCAACGCUGCGGUGAAUACGUUCCCGGGCCUU
rnacentral:rRNA from 1 species